rnacentral:rRNA from 1 species
GUGAACCAGUACCGUGAGGGAAAGGCGAAAAGAACCCCGGCGAGGGGAGUGAAAAAGAACCUGAAACCGUGUACGUACAAGCAGUGGGAGCACCCUUUGGGUGUGACUGCGUACCUUUUGUAUAAUGGGUCAGCGACUUAUAUUCUGUAGCAAGGUUAACCGAAUAGGGGAGCCGGAGGGAAACCGAGUCUUAACCGGGCGUUAAGUUGCAGGGUAUAGACCCGAAACCCGGUGAUCUAGCCAUGGGCAGGUUGAAGGUUGGGUAACACUAACUGGAGGACCGAACCGACUAAUGUUGAAAAAUUAGCGGAUGACCUGUGGCUGGGGGUGAAAGGCCAAUCAAACCGGGAGAUAGCUGGUUCUCCCCGAAAGCUAUUUAGGUAGCGCCUCGUGAAUUCAUCUCCGGGGGUAGAGCACUGUUUCGGCUAGGGGGCCAUCCCGGCUUACCAACCCGAUGCAAACUGCGAAUACCGGAGAAUGUUAUCACGGGAGACACACGGCGGGUGCUAACGUCCGUCGUGAAGAGGGAAACAACCCAGACCGCCAGCUAAGGUCCCAAAGUCAUGGUUAAGUGGGAAACGAUGUGGGAAGGCCCAGACAGCCAGGAUGUUGGCUUAGAAGCAGCCAUCAUUUAAAGAAAGCGUAAUAGCUCACUGGUCGAGUCGGCCUGCGCGGAAGAUGUAACGGGGCUAAACCAUGCACCGAAGCUGCGGCAGCGACACUGUGUGUUGUUGGGUAGGGGAGCGUUCUGUAAGCCUGUGAAGGUGUGUCGUGAGGCAUGCUGGAGGUAUCAGAAGUGCGAAUGCUGACAUAAGUAACGAUAAAGCGGGUGAAAAGCCCGCUCGCCGGAAGACCAAGGGUUCCUGUCCAACGUUAAUCGGGGCAGGGUGAGUCGACCCCUAAGGCGAGGCCGAAAGGCGUAGUCGAUGGGAAACGGGUUAAUAUUCCCGUACUUGGUGUUACUGCGAAGGGGGGACGGAGAAGGCUAUGUUGGCCGGGCGACGGUUGUCCCGGUUUAAGCGUGUAGGUGUGUGUUCCAGGUAAAUCCGGUUCACUUUAACACUGAGGCGUGACGACGAGGCACUACGGUGCUGAAGCAACAAAUGCCCUGCUUCCAGGAAAAGCCUCUAAGCAUCAGGUAACAUCAAAUCGUACCCCAAACCGACACAGGUGGUCAGGUAGAGAAUACCAAGGCGCUUGAGAGAACUCGGGUGAAGGAACUAGGCAAAAUGGUGCCGUAACUUCGGGAGAAGGCACGCUGACACGUAGGUGAAGUGAUUUACUCAUGGAGCUGAAGUCAGUCGAAGAUACCAGCUGGCUGCAACUGUUUAUUAAAAACACAGCACUGUGCAAACACGAAAGUGGACGUAUACGGUGUGACGCCUGCCCGGUGCCGGAAGGUUAAUUGAUGGGGUCAGCGCAAGCGAAGCUCCUGAUCGAAGCCCCGGUAAACGGCGGCCGUAACUAUAACGGUCCUAAGGUAGCGAAAUUCCUUGUCGGGUAAGUUCCGACCUGCACGAAUGGCGUAAUGAUGGCCAGGCUGUCUCCACCCGAGACUCAGUGAAAUUGAACUCGCUGUGAAGAUGCAGUGUACCCGCGGCAAGACGGAAAGACCCCGUGAACCUUUACUAUAGCUUGACACUGAACAUUGAGCCUUGAUGUGUAGGAUAGGUGGGAGGCUUUGAAGUGUGGACGCCAGUCUGCAUGGAGCCGACCUUGAAAUACCACCCUUUAAUGUUUGAUGUUCUAACGUGGACCCGUUACCCGGGUUGCGGACAGUGUCUGGUGGGUAGUUUGACUGGGGCGGUCUCCUCCUAAAGAGUAACGGAGGAGCACGAAGGUUGGCUAAUCCUGGUCGGACAUCAGGAGGUUAGUGCAAUGGCAUAAGCCAGCUUGACUGCGAGCGUGACGGCGCGAGCAGGUGCGAAAGCAGGUCAUAGUGAUCCGGUGGUUCUGAAUGGAAGGGCCAUCGCUCAACGGAUAAAAGGUACUCCGGGGAUAACAGGCUGAUACCGCCCAAGAGUUCAUAUCGACGGCGGUGUUUGGCACCUCGAUGUCGGCUCAUCACAUCCUGGGGCUGAAGUAGGUCCCAAGGGUAUGGCUGUUCGCCAUUUAAAGUGGUACGCGAGCUGGGUUUAGAACGUCGUGAGACAGUUCGGUCCCUAUCUGCCGUGGGCGCUGGAGAACUGAGGGGGGCUGCUCCUAGUACGAGAGGACCGGAGUGGACGCAUCACUGGUGUUCGGGUUGUCAUGCCAAUGGCACUGCCCGGUAGCUAAAUGCGGAAGAGAUAAGUGCUGAAAGCAUCUAAGCACGAAACUUGCCCCGAGAUGAGUUCUCCCUGAGACUUAAAGUCUCCUGAAGGAACGUUGAAGACGACGACGUUGAUAGGCCGGGUGUGUAAGCGCAGCGAUGCGUUGAGCUAACCGGUACUAAUGAACCGUGAGGCUUAACCUU